UACGUAGGGGGCUAGCGUUGUCCGGAAUUAUUGGGCGUAAAGGGCUCGUAGGCGGUUUGUCGCGUCGGGAGUGAAAACACUGGGCUUAACUCAGUGCUUGCUUCCGAUACGGGCAGACUAGAGGUAUGCAGGGGAGAACGGAAUUCCUGGUGUAGCGGUGAAAUGCGCAGAUAUCAGGAGGAACACCGGUGGCGAAGGCGGUUCUCUGGGCAUUACCUGACGCUGAGGAGCGAAAGUGUGGGGAGCGAACAGG
rnacentral:rRNA from 1 species